GUGUGAAGCUGGUCGCGGCCAUCCGGACAGGUGUUCGCCAGCAUCAGCAUCACCUGGAUGCUUGUUACACCUGGGCUCCACCCCAGACCUAUGGAACCAGAAUCUCCAGGAAUCUGUAUCUUAACAAAAUUUCCAGGUGACUUUUAUGAACCUGGGUUUGAGAAGCCUGACUCCAUGAUCACAGAUAGGCCUGAAGUCAUCCAUAGUGUAGGCAGUGAUAAGAUUGAUGAGAGCACCCCAUCAUGUGCCGGAAAGGGCUUUGCAACACAUCAAACAACCACUUAAACAGGCCUGCUGACUGCCAGCAUCAUUGAAAUUUCUUCGUUGAGCACCUACUUCCUGCUACAAACCUCAGGAAACCAAGGUCCUGUCCUCCCCCAACCAGCUGCUACUUCCUCUAAACACCGAGGAGCCUGGCCUUUGCUUUCAGCAUCUUUCUUCACUAAGUAUCAUUGAAAAACUUGGAUCUGACAGCCAACUGCUUACUUUCUGAUCCACCAGCUGGUU